rnacentral:rRNA from 1 species
GCAUCGAUGAAGAACGCAGCCAGCUGCGAUACGUAAUGUGAAUUGCAGAAUUCAGUGAAUCAUCGAAUCUUUGAACGCAAAUUGCACUUCCGGGCACUCCCGGGAGUACGUCUGCCUGAGUGCCAUCUUAUACAACUCGCCACGCCGUGAGAGCGGUUCGAUGGCGGAGAUGGCCGUCCGGGGGAGCGCCUCUUCUGAAGAGGCGGUCUGCCGGUCGGCUGAAGGAUGGCGACGCUGCCUGCACCCUGGAAGGAGCUGGGCCGUCACCCAAGCGGUAAGCCAUCCUGCGUUGCUACAACGGAGGACGCGACCUUGGGGGCCCUUUCGCUCGAUACUCUCCUGACCGCGGCGGGCGUCACAGAAACAGCACUUCAACUUCUGGCCUCAGAUCAGUCGAGACUACCCGCUGAAUUUAAGCAUAUCAAUAAGCGGAGGA